rnacentral:rRNA from 1 species
UACGGGGGGGGCAAGCGUUGUUCGGAAUUACUGGGCGUAAAGGGCGUGUAGGCGGCCAACUAAGUCCGACGUGAAAUCCCCAGGCUUAACCUGGGAACUGCGUCGGAUACUGGAUGGCUUGAAUCCGGGAGAGGGAUGCGGAAUUCCAGGUGUAGCGGUGAAAUGCGUAGAUAUCGGGAAGAACACCCGUGGCGAAGGCGGCUCUCUGGAACGCAACUGACGCUGAGACGCGAAAGCGUGGGGAGCAAACAGG